GUCACAGUUUUUUUGCUUAUACGAAACAGUUAGUUCACUCUAGUUUUUAUGCGGUUCCUGCGCUUGCAGAAACUCCUAGCAGACUGCGUAGUAGACUAGGAGGAAAAUGUUGCUGUUGCAAGAUUUAAAAUAUUCCGAUAAAGAAUAUUCCAAAAUUAUAAUAAAAUAAUUAUGAUUAUCGAUUUUUUUCAAAAAGCUGAAAAUUAAAUUCAUAAAUGGUAAAAUCCUUUAUGUACACACUUGUAUAAAAUUUGAAAAUUAAUAUCUUCUAAUUAUUGAUUGAAUGUAUUCAGAAAAUUAAUCACAAGUAACUAUCUAAAUUGGUGACAUUUGGCAACAGUGAGUAGAUCUGGUUUAUUUAUGUAUGUUUAUUCCAAACAUAACCUUAUAUUAUAAACAGUUGUUUAUUUAGAGUUAUUUAUUAUUGUUUUCUCAUAUUUUGCAAUUGUUAAGUUGGUUUACUUCGAAUUUAAUAUGCAUUACUGUGGUAUUUCUCCAGUUUUCUAAGAAGUUUGGUGAUUUUGAAUUGGGAUUAUGAUGAAUUUAACCCAAAGGCAAUGUGUGUUUAUUUAUGUGGCAAAAUUCCAGGCACCAUAAAAAUUUGAGUUUCUUCCUGUUGCCCAUGGAUGAAAUCGGUUUGCAGAAUGAAAAGAAAUUGUUCAAUGUGAUAUACUUUCUAUGAACAGUCCUCAAUAUUGUUACAUUAACUUUUAAAUAUGCACUUUACAUCUUGAGGAGCAGGCCUUUGCAGAAAUACUGAAAAGCGGGUUGCAAAACAACGCAAAAUAAAACAAAACGAAAUAUGUCUUGAGAUUAAACAUUCAAGUUGAAGGUGUGUUCUUUCUUAAACUGAAAUGAUAAUUUUGUAAUUCUGUAGGCACAUCUAUUGAGAAGUUAGAACCAGUGGCAAAGUGCCUUAAGGGAAUCUAUGACAUAUAAUUGAAGCUAUCAGCAUUGGCUCUACAGCCCAUGGUGGGUCUUGGCCUGUUCCAGAAUCAGCUUCCACUCUUUCCUAUCCUUUGCUUGGCUUUCCAAUUUCUCACUCGAGCAUGGAUUUUUGGUAUAUAUGGGAUUAUAUUGUGAUAACGACCAGAUCUAUGAAAGAAUAGUAUGUUGUUAAAGAAGAUUGUGGUGACACUAUUCAUGAAUAUCUGAUAAUAUUGGUUAAUGUGAAUGGAGUCCAAAAUGGGUUUAGGCUGUUAUAUAAAAAAACUAGGUCAUUAGCAUAUGGAAGUAGGGCGACAUUAUCUGGUAUUAAAUUAUGUGAAUGAGGAGAAUUAAACC